rnacentral:rRNA from 1 species
AAAUUGAAGAGUUUGAUCAUGGCUCAGAUUGAACGCUGGCGGCAGGCCUAACACAUGCAAGUCGAGCGGCAGCGGGAGAGUAGCUUGCUACUUUUGCCGGCGAGCGGCGGACGGGUGAGUAAGGCUUGGGUAUCUGCCCGGUCGAGGGGGAUAACCGUUGGAAACGACGGCUAAUACCGCAUACGCCCUACGGGGGAAAGCAGGGGACCUUCGGGCCUUGCGCGAUUGGAUGAGCCCAAGUGAGAUUAGCUGGUUGGUGAGGUAAUGGCUCACCAAGGCGACGAUCUCUAGCUGGUCUGAGAGGAUGACCAGCCACACUGGGACUGAGACACGGCCCAGACUCCUACGGGAGGC